rnacentral:lncRNA from 1 species
CCAGUUUAAAUGGAGGCCAAGUCAUAUAGCCUGAAGUGUUUAGCUUUGGUUUCAGCAUCAUUUCCUACUGGGGGUCAAGACCAUACAUGAAGAGUUGAGGGAGUAAUUAAGCACAAUUUACUGUGGAAAAAUGGACAAAAGAACAAAUGAAGAAAAGAUGCAACACAUGAGCGCAGUUUGGUAAGGACAAAGGAAUCAAUGGACAGCCCAUGUGCACCCUGAGAAAAAGACUAUCUGUCCUUUAUAAUGUUGGCUUUGUGUAUUCAUGGCAGAUACCUU